rnacentral:rRNA from 1 species
AUUGAACGCUGGCGGCAGGCUUAACACAUGCAAGUCGAGCGAGCGGCGGAAGGGUGAGUAAUGUCUGGGAAACUGCCCGAUGGAGGGGGAUAACUACUGGAAACGGUAGCUAAUACCGCAUACCAUCAGAUGUGCCCAGAUGGGAUUAGCUAGUAGGUGGGGUAAUGGCUCACCUAGGCGACGAGCCCUAACUGGUCUGAGAGGAUGACCAGCCACACUGGAACUGAGACACGGGCCAGACUCCUACGGGAGGCAGCAGUGGGGAAUAUUGCACAAUGGGCGCAAGCCUGAUGCAGCCAUGCCGCGUGUGUGAAGAAGGCCUUCGGGUUGUAAAGCACUUUCAGCGGGGAGGCGUUACUCGCAGAAGAAGCACCGGCUAACUCCGUGCCAGCAGCCGCGGUAAUUC